rnacentral:rRNA from 1 species
GAUGAACGCUGGCGGCGUGCCUAACACAUGCAAGUCGAGCGAAGAUAGAGACGAGUACUUGUACAAAUUUUUAUCUUAGCGGCGGACGGGUGAGUAACACGUGAGUAACCUGCCUUUCACUGGGGAAUAACAUCGAGAAAUCGGUGCUAAUACCGCAUAAUGUCACGAGGCUGCAUGGCCAUGUGACCAAAGGAGCAAUCCGGUGAUAGAUGGACUCGCGUCCGAUUAGAUAGUUGGUGAGGUAACGGCCCACCAAGUCAACGAUCGGUAGCCGAACUGAGAGGUUGAUCGGCCACAUUGGGACUGAGACACGGCCCAGACUCCUACGGGAGGCAGCAGUGGGGAAUAUUGGGCAAUGGGCGAAAGCCUGACCCAGCAACGCCGCGUGAAGGAAGAAGGUCUUCGGAUUGUAAACUUCUUUGAUCAGGGACGAAUAAAUGACGGUACCUGAAGAACAAGCCACGGCUAACUACGUGCCAGCAGCCGCAGUAAAAC